GUUGCCCAGGCUGGUCUCAAACUCCUGGACUCAAGCAAUCCUCCAGCCUUGGCUUCCCAAAGUGCUGACAUUACAGGCAUGUAAUGUAUCCGAACUAAGUUCGGCAUCAAUAUGGUGACCUCCCGGGAGCGGGGAACCACCACGUUGCCUAAGGAGGGGUGAACCGGCCCAAGUCGGAAAUGGAGCAGGUCAAAACUCCUGUGCUGAUCAGUAGUGGGAUCGCGUCUGUGAAUAGCCACUGCACUCCAGCCUGGGCAAUAUAGUGAGAC
rnacentral:sRNA from 1 species